CUCAGAGCCCGGGAAAAACCUGAACGAUGACGAGGCAGCCUCAGGCUGCAACACAUUAUCGCCUUUUCCAAGUGGCCCAUCAGAGGACAAUGGAAUUAGGCGCGUGCCCGAUUCGACCCCGUGCAGUAUUUUCCUUCGGCUGUUUAGCUAAUUGCAUAUUCCCGGUCGGAAUAUUAUCGCUUUUUUACGAGAAUAAUGGCAUAAAAAUUGAUUUUAAACAGCGGUUGACAUGCUUCGAAGUACGGUAAUGGAAUAUUUAGAAUUCUUUUGUCACGAAAUGCGCCAUGCGCACGACCAUUAUUUACCAUUUCGGAUAGUGUCUAGAACUCACGAACAAAACAACGCUGUUUGGAUAUAAAGAUGGAUUAUUUGGGACCAAACCAACAUUUGUUAUUGAAGUAGAAGUCCUGGGAGUGCAUUCUGACGAAGAACAGGAAAGACCUGACUGUGAGGAGCGCUAGGAGUGCAGUGCGCUUACCGCCACUCCACAUCGCUGAACAUACCGCCAGAGUCCCUACGGAAAUGUCACGGAGAGAAAAGUGAGGAGGCGCAUCACACAUCAGAUGGAAGAAAUCGAUAUGGCCCUGGCAUGUCCUCCCUACGGGGGCCCCAAGGUUCCGCCUAGGUUACACACAUACAAACCUUCCACUGCUAAAUAGAGAACGUCAAGGAUUCAGUUUCAACCCAACAAACUGUCAACUAUGUUGUACGUAGGUCAACUUUAGAACCCUUAGCACCACUCACUAUCCAUAAGUAGGUAAUUCACUGUGGCAGACUGGUUUAUUUCUGUAUGUAUAUGGUGAGGAAUAUGUACGGAGGUGUGCAG
rnacentral:lncRNA from 1 species